UACGUAGGGGCCUAGCGUUGUCCGGAUUUAUUGGGCGUAAAGAGCUCGUAGGCGGUUCGGCAAGUCGGAUGUGAAAUCUCCACGCUUAACGUGGAGGGGCCAUUCGAAACUGCCGUGACUCGAGUCCGGUAGGGGAGUGUGGAAUUCCCGGUGUAGCGGUGAAAUGCGCAGAUAUCGGGAGGAACACCAGUAGCGAAGGCGGCACUCUGGGCCUUACUGACGCUGAGGAGCGAAAAGCGUGGGGAGCGAACAGG
rnacentral:rRNA from 1 species